rnacentral:rRNA from 1 species
AGGAACAACGCUGGCGGCGUGCCUAAUGCAUGCAAGUCGGACGGGACCCACUUCGGUGGACGACCGUGGCGGACGGGUGAGGAGCACGUGGAGAACCUGCCCCGAGGCGGGGGAUAACGCCGGGAAACCGGUGGUAAGACCCCAUGGACUUGGUUGAUGAUAGGUUGAUCAAGCAAAAACUUCGGUUGCGUCGGGAGGGCUCUGCGACCUAUCAGCUAGUUGGUGGGGUAGUGGCCUACCAAGGCGAUGACGGGUAGCUGGUCUGAGAGGACGAUCAGCCACACGGGGACUGAGACACGGCCCCGACUCCUACGGGAGGCAGCAGCAAGGGAUUUUCCGCAAUGGGCGCAAGCCUGACGGAGCGACGCCGCGUGAAGGACGACACCGUUUCGGGGCGUAAACUCCUUUUCUGGGGGAUGAACAAAUGACAGUACCCCAGGAAGAAGGACCGGCUAACUACGUGCCAGCAGCCGC